rnacentral:lncRNA from 1 species
AUGCACCUCAUAAGCUUGCUAUCAUACGUAUAUAAGCGGUCUCUCUACGUCUUUGUGAUUGCCAAUUGCUUUCUUCACCAGAUGCCUCCUACCUGGGCAGCUUUUCUUCUCAUUUGCACAGUAGGUGCUCUCACAAGACUUCUGUGUUAUCUAAGAGGAAACAAAGGAAAAUGGAAACAGAUGCCAAUCAAGUCUCCCUCUGUGAGUUAUCUAUAUUCCCUCCCUAGAACUCACAUCUUAUUUUUAGGACAUUAUUUUUUUUAUUAAGUUUUUAUUCUAAUUCCAGUAUUGUUAACAUACAGCUCUAUAUUAGUUCCAGGUGUGCUACAUGGGGAUUUAACAAUUCCAUGUAUCACCCGGUGCUCAUCACAAGUCCUUAAUCCCUAUCACCUACUUCACCCCACAGCCUACCCACCCACCUCCUUUCUGGUGACCGUCAGUUUGUUCUCUAGAGCUAAGGGUGUUUCUUGGUUUCUCUCUCUCUAUCUCUCUCUCUCUUUUUAAAGCUUUUAUCCAUUUAUUCAUGAGAGAGGCAGAGACACAGGCAGAGGGAGAAGCAGGCUCCCUGUAGGGAGCCCGAUGCGGGACUCGAUCCCAGGACUCCAGGAUCAUGCCCUGAGCCAAGGGCAGAGGCUCAACCACUGAGCCACCCAGGUGCCUCAUUUGUUUUAUUUGUUUUGCUUUUUAAAUUCCACAUAUGAGUGAAAUCAUAAAGAAUUUACCUUUCUCUGACUCAUACACGUGUAUGUGCUGCUUCCAUAACUUGGCCAUACAUAAUGCUGCUAUAAACACACCUUUAAAAUUAGUGUUUUUAUUUCCUGAGUAAAUACUCAAUAGUGUGAUUACUGAAUCAUAGAGUAGUUCUAUUUUAGACUCUCAGAGGAGCCCCCAUACUGUUUUCCACAGUGGCUGCACCAGUUUGCAUUCCCACCAGCCGUGUUGAGAGGGCUCCCCUUUCUCCACAUCCUCCCCAACACUGUUUGUUUCUGUGUUUCUGAUUUUAGCCAUUCUGACAGGUGUGAGGUGAUACCUCACUGUAGUUUUGAUUUGCAUUUCCCUGAGGCUAAGCGAUGAUGAGUAUCUUUUCAUGUGUCUGCUCACCAUCUGGACGUCUUCUUUGGAAAAAAUAUCUGUUCCUGUCUUCUGCCCAUUUUUACAUUGAGUUGUUUUUUCGGGCACUGAGUUGUAUAAGUUCUUUAUAUAUUUUGGAUACUAACCCUUAACUAGAUAAGUCAUUUGCAAAUAUCUUCUUCCAUUCAAUAGGUUGCCUUUGAAUUUUCUUGAUUACUUCCUUCACUGUGCAGAAGCUUUUUAUUUUGAUGCAGCCCAAUGGUUUAUUUUUUGCUAUUUUCCUUGCCUCAGGAAUCAUAUAGAGAAAAAUUUUGCUACAGCUGAUGUCAAAGAAGUUACUGCCUAUAUUCUCUUCUAGGAUUUUCAUGCUUUCAGGUCUCACAUUUAGGUCUUUAACCCAUUUUGAGUUUAUUUCUGUGUAUGGUAUUAAGAAAGGCAUCCAGUUUCAUUCUUUUGCAUGUCGCUGACCAGUUUUUCUAAGACCAUUUGUAGAAGUAGAACUUACAUCUUAAUGGGCAUCUUAAUCUUAUGCAUUAUAAGUCUUGUCCAAAAAGUCCUCAUAUCAGAAAAGUUCCGACUAAGCCAAGAAAUAGUCAUUCCUCAUUCAAAGCUUAAAAAUUGCUCAGCUCUUACUGGAAUAUCCUUAGGAAAAAAAUAAAUCUCAAAAGCAAGAUUAAAUAUUCUAAAAU